rnacentral:tRNA from 1 species
CAAAAUAGAGCUUGAUUAGUUAAGCAUUUCAUUUACACUGAAGCGUUGUCGUGCGAUUCGAUAUAUUUUGA